GACGAACGCUGGCGGCGUGCUUAACACAUGCAAGUCGAACGAAGAGCGAUGGAAGCUUGCUUCUAUCAAUCUUAGUGGCGAACGGGUGAGUAACGCGUAAUCAACCUGCCCUUCAGAGGGGGACAACAGUUGGAAACGACUGCUAAUACCGCAUACGAUCUAACCUUGGCAUCGAGGAUGGAUGAAAGGUGGCCUCUAUUUAUAAGCUAUCACUGAAGGAGGGGAUUGCGUCUGAUUAGCUAGUUGGAGGGGUAACGGCCCACCAAGGCGAUGAUCAGUAGCCGGUCUGAGAGGAUGAACGGCCACAUUGGGACUGAGACACGGCCCAGACUCCUACGGGAGGCAGCAGUGGGGAAUCUUCCGCAAUGGACGAAAGUCUGACGGAGCAACGCCGCGUGAGUGAUGACGGCCUUCGGGUUGUAAAGCUCUGUUAAUCGGGACGAAAGGCCUUCUUGCGAAUAUUUAGAA
rnacentral:rRNA from 1 species